rnacentral:rRNA from 1 species
UACGGGGGGAGCAAGCGUUGUUCGGAUUUACUGGGCGUAAAGGGCGCGUAGGCGGUCAGCACAAGUCAGUUGUGAAAUCUCCGGGCUUAACUCGGAAAGGUCAACUGAUACUGUGCGACUAGAGUGCGGAAGGGGCAACUGGAAUUCUCGGUGUAGCGGUGAAAUGCGUAGAUAUCGAGAGGAACACCUGAGGCGAAGGCGGGUUGCUAGGCUGACACUGACGCUGAGGCGCGAAAGCUAGGGUAGCAAACGGG